rnacentral:lncRNA from 1 species
AUGAGACACUCUGCAGGUAACCCAGGUCUGUCUCCGUGGGGGGCUGUGGGCUGCUGCAGCAGAAAGACCAACGUCCAGACUCUUAAGCAUGGACGUUGGUGCUCAUUCACUGAGCAGGUUGGCAGGUGGCUGCCUCCAUUGGGAGGCCCCUCCUGGGGGUGCGUUCUCUGUGUCCUUUGCCCCUUCUGUCCCUGGAUCCAGUUGCAGGUGGUGAGGAGCGUGGGGAAGGUACAGCCACUUCCCAAAUCCUGGACCAGGUGCUGGCCGGCCUCGCUGGCCCACGUCUCUGGGGAGCUCGUCCCAGACUUGGCCAUCUCCCCAGAUGUCUGGCCAUUUCCAAGCUGGUUGUGCGUCAGAAUCACCACGGUUCUCUGGAGACACGGACGCCUGGCCCCAGGCCCCACAGUGCUGCUUCACAGGCCCAAGGUAGGACCUGGGCGCCUGCAGGUAAAAAGGCCCGCAGGUCCAGUGGUCCCAGCCCCUACGCUUGGCCCCGGUUCUGCCCCAGGUCCAAGGAGAGGCAUCCACGGCCCAUGUGGAGGCAGCGCCGUGGGUUCACUCCCCGCCUGGCUCCCGCAGGAUCUACGAGGGCCCCAGGGCAGAGUGGAGAGGACAUGCCCGCCUUGGGAGACAGGAGCUGGGAGAUGUGAUGUCCCCGUCAGGAGGCACAAGCUGCUAAUUGCUUUGUUUCGCGUUACCAACAUCCGCGGGGAGAGAGCAAAUGCCGCCACUUGCCCAGCCUGCUGUCCCCAGAGCAGCACCAGGAGCAUACUUCUCUCUCCUUCUCGAAGAUUCCAGGCGGAACCUCUCAGCUCGGCGCCACAAACUGAACGGCUCCACCAAGGAAGAGGAAGUGCCUUGUCUGCUGAGAGGAGCUCCAUUCAGCCUCUGAGCCUCCGUUUCCCUGUUUGUGAAACCAAGAACUAA